GAUGAAGAACGCAGUGAAAUGCGAUAAGUAAUGUGAAUUGCAGAAUUCAGUGAAUCAUCGAAUCUUUGAACGCACCUUGCGCUCCUUGGUAUUCCGAGGAGCAUGCCUGUUUGAGUGUCAUUAAAUUCUCAACCUUAUUGGCUUUUGCUGAUAAUGGCUUGGACUUGGGGGUCUUUUUGCUGGCUUUCAUUAGUCUGCUCCCCUUAAAUGUAUUAGCCGGUGCCCCGCAGUGGAACCGUCUAUUGGUGUGAUAAUUAUCUACGCCGUGGACGUCUGCUAUAAUGGGUUUGCGCUGCUUCUAACCGUCUCUCGGGACAACACAAAUGACAAUUUGACCUCAAAUCAGGUAGGACUACCCGCUGAACUUAAGCAUAUCAAUAAGCGGAGGA
rnacentral:misc_RNA from 1 species